UACAGAGGGGGGCAAGCGUUGUCCGGAAUCAUUGGGCGUAAAGAGCGUGUAGGCGGUCCGGUAAGUCCGCUGUGAAAGUCGGGGGCUCAACCCUCGAAUGCCGGUGGAUACUGUCGGGCUAGAGUGCGGAAGAGGCGAGUGGAAUUCCUGGUGUAGCGGUGAAAUGCGCAGAUAUCAGGAGGAACACCGGUGGCGAAGGCGACAUCCUGGACCGGUAUUGACGCUGAGGCGCGAAAGCCAGGGGAGCAAACGGG
rnacentral:rRNA from 1 species